CAAAACUUACCAGAAAGCAUGUAGUCCUUGGCUCAGACAGUGUAGUAGUGUGGGCUCAAUAUCAUCUCAUUAGUGUGCAAGAUCUUGAGAAUCAAGAUUGAGGAGUGAAGUCGGGGGAGGUGCAUCUGUGACAGCCGAAAGUCCGACACUAAUAUGGUUUUUCAACAGCAAGGCUCAGACAGAGAGGAAAAGAGCACAACUCUGCGGAAACUCUGUUUCCCUCUAUUUGUCGAAUUUGGUAUAAAAAAAUGUAUGGCUUAUUUGCUAAGUGAGGUUUAUUUGAUCUAAUAGAAGUUUUGUAAGGCUUAAGUGGUUACGAGUGUACUGCUAUAAGUAAUACGACACAUGACAUCCCGGGAACUUUGAGAAAGAAAGUUGGAGUAUCGGAGUUGUCUCAAGAUGGCUAUGCAUAUUCAUGGCAUGAGGCUAGUACCAUAGCACUCUCUCCAUAGAAUACAGGUGGUUGACCUCACCAUGAAAUGCUUACUUACAAGCCCUUAACCAACAAAGCAGUUUUAAGAAAAUAGAGUUAAGAAAAUAUUUAGUGUCAAUGCAAAUAGUCCGGGUGGCCAUUUGAUUAAUUGUUCAGCAGUCUUAUGGCUUGGGGGUAGAAGCUGUUAAGGAGCCUUUUGCACAUAGACUUGGCGCUUAGGUACUGCUUGCUGUGCGGUAGCAGAGAGAACAGUCUAUGAUUUGGGUGACUGGAGUCUUUGACAAUUUUUGGGGACUUUAUCUGACACCGCCUAGUAUAUAGGUCCUGGAUACCCUCUGUAACGCCUUAUGGUUGGAUGCCGAGCAGUUGCCAUACCAGGCGGUGAUGCAACCGGUCAGGAUGCUCUCGAUGGUGCAGCUGUAUAACUUUUUGAGGAUCUGGGGACCCAUGAUAAAUCUUUUCAGUCUCCUGAAGGGGAAAAGGCGUUGUAGUGCCCUCUUUACAACUUUCUUGGUGUGUUUGGAACAUGAUAGUUUGUUGGUGAUGUGGACACCAAGGAACUUGAAACUCUCAACCCGCUCCAUCGAGACAACUCCGAUAUAAAGUGUUUUUUUCUCAAAGUUGCCGGGAUGUCACGUGUCCUACUUAUAACUUAAGCAUUGCGAAACUUCUAUUCGAUCAAAUAACCCUCAUGUAGCAAUCAACUUUUCUGAUGACCAAAUUCAACACUCUGUCAUUGACCUCUAUACAAAAACUCCUUGCUUGGUGGGAGAAACAAUGAAAAAACAUCAACUGCUGGAGGGAGACAGAUUUUACCCCAAAUUGGGCCUCUCUUUCUCUCUGACUGCAAUCAAAACGUCAUGACCUUUGAUCACAUGAUUUAUGUAAAGUUCAUGUAGUCAACAUGUAGGCGCAAGCAAAGAUUGUCUAUUAUAUUGACAAGAUAUUCAAGCUCUGACAAUGGAAAUACAUGUCCUCAAAGAUGAAAAGCAGGCGGGAGGAGGCAAGAUCAGGAGGGACCAUUCCAGCCAACGAGAGGGCAGAUACGCAUGUGAACAACAGGCCAUGGAAAUAGAUAGACUCAUCUUUGUAUCUGUGACAUUAUAGAUCUGUGACAGCAUGGGCAGUGCCACUGAGGCUAUCUCCAUUUUAAAGUAGUACAUUUUCAUAUUCUUCAUCUACUGAUUGCUCUGACCGUAUCCAACUCAUAGGAAUCCCAACCAGUUGACUACUUUAAAAUUAUGUCCAUGUUAAAAUGGGUUGUAUCCAUAAUGAGUCCUCUAUCUCUAUGACAACAGGCACAACACCGAAAUGCCACGUGCAUCCACUUAUGACAGUGCAUUCGUAACAACCUAACCAUUACCAAGCUUCUAUUCAAUCAAAUAAGCAAUAAAAAGUGGUGACCAAAUUCACAAUUUUUUAUUCUUAUUUUACCAGGUAAAUUGACUGAGAACAAAUUCUCAUUUACAACAACGACCAAGGGAAUAGUUAGAGUAAAACCUUUCGUUUCGCCUCUUUCGCUCUUGCGCAAAUCCAUCUUUUUUGUCCCCAUAAUGCAACACACUUUGAAAGCCAGUGACCAACGAUGGUCACUGACUUGACAAAAGUGAUCUGCACGAACGCGCCCAGGGUAUGAAUCAAGAAACCUGCCUAUUGGUGCUUUCAAGACAACAGGGAACUCUGAAAAAGUAUAAUGGUGUCAGUGAUCUUCAGGUCAGAAAGUCAGAGCUCUAGAAAUAUGCCAGAGUUUCCGGGUUGGAAUUCCGAGUUGGAGGACUAUUCCAAAAAAAAAAUCCCAGUCAGAGCUUGUUUUUUUCCCGGAGUUCCCAGUUGUCUUGAACACCAUGAAGUCGGAUGUCAGAGAUUUCAUGGGUUUCCAGUUGUUUAAAAGCUGCAUAUUUUCCUAUUGUUCCAAGUUGUUUGAAAGCUGCAUAAUGUCACUAUUCCAAAGUUAUACAAUAUUACAAAGAACAAGUUAAUUAUCUCACAUCUCAGAAAAUAUUUGUAAUGUUGUACUUCUUGUUCACGAAAUUCAUGCUAUUGUUGGGUUUUUGAGCUAGUGCCCAAUUGACUCACAUUCACUCCUUGAAGGGCUGGGUUUUAACUAGGUGGUAUACAGCUACGAUCGGACGUAACUUCUUCGUAGCAGGUUAAAGGUUGCUACAUGGUCAAUCCGACGUCUGCACUGGCCGACCAGCAUUUACGGCGAUACGGCCUCUGUAGAAGUCAGGGCAUUCCUAUUUCUUGCGAUUCGCGGAGCAGCGCAGAGCUGUUGAGCAGAGCUGUUGUGUAGGAAGUGUGUUUGUGUUUAUACAGGCCCCUCCCAUCCCCACCUACUGUCACCCAAUCAUGUCAAUGAAGAGCUAUACAGAGCCCUCCGCACUGUUACAAAAUUUGGGAGAUGCACAGCGAUGCGGUAGGGAGCUCAAUUUGGCCUCUGCAUGCCUCCAGAGGUUCCACAAUUGCGUCACACCCUCCAUACGGAGCCUCAGACCACAGUUUUUGAUCAAGCAUGAAUUGGCUUUUAUGAUAUCUUACGCAGCAGCUUAGGAGAAUUAGGUUAAGGGUAGGAAAAGGUUUAGGGGUUAGCUAAAAUGCUCUCCUAACCUUCUACAAAAAGUAACUUCCGGUCAUAGCUGUACUC
rnacentral:lncRNA from 1 species